UCCGACACAGAGACACGGUGGCAGGA
rnacentral:piRNA from 1 species